GGGAAGUCCAGCUAUCAGGGAAGCUUCCCCAAUCAGGGAAGCAUGAAGUUUUAACCACUGGACCGUCAGAGAAGUUCCUCUUUUUACAUUUUUUAAUGUAGCUACCAGAAAAUUGAAAAUUAAGUGCAUGGCUCACAUUUUUGCCUUGCGUUACAUUUCUUUUGAACAGUGAGCGCUGUUCUGGAACCUCACCACUUAGUGUUGUCCCUGCUCAAGCAGCAUCAGCAUUUCCAGAAAGCUCGUGAGGAAUAGACUCUCAGAGCUCAGCCCAGACCUAAAGAAUCAGAAUCUUCAUUUUAGUCAGAUUCCUGGGGGAUUCAAGUGCGAGAAGCUGCCCUCAGAGGACUUCCUGUAGGUUCAGCUGAUCCGUCUGCUUCCAGGAAGGCAUGCUGGUGUGGCCACUGCACGGUGACAUACUGGACAGCAAGUAAGAGACUUGUAGAGUGUUGCUGCAGAUUCUGUUUUUUUUUUCUUCCUUCCCUGCCUCCCAGCAUGGACCCUUGGGUUGAGGUGAACUUCCACAGGGAGUCUAUGGCCUGAUAAUAUUUUCCAAGGUGGGCUGGGAGCUGGGGUGGGGAAAAGCAGGUGUGUCACCAUAGAAGAGGGAAGCCUCAGACAAGAAGACAAAGUCCUUGUUUGGUCUCAAGUUAAUGGUUAACCUACUAUGGAGAAAGAAGCAGUUGAGACGGUGGACUUUAGUUUCUGGCUGUUUCUCUACAAACUUCUGUGGCCUUGGUUUAAUUAUCCCCCUGUCUUGCAGAACAGCAAAUGCUGGGAUAGACCGGACCCUUUGACACCCAAGUCUUGUGAACUAGGGGACAGAGCCAAGAAGAGUGAGGAGAUUUUUCAAUAUUCAGAGAAAAGAAUGAGGAGACCUGAGGGAGAACUAAACAUGUAUCUUCUGCUGUGCGUGGAAAUGAUGAUUUUCAUAAAGAAAAUAAAUGUACAUGCAAUAAAGCCCAGAGAUAUAAAUGCAGAAAUGAAUAACAGGCUCAAGUUGAAUUUACAAGCUGCUACUGCUGC
rnacentral:lncRNA from 1 species